rnacentral:rRNA from 1 species
UACGUAGGGGGCAAGCGUUGUCCGGAAUCAUUGGGCGUAAAGCGCGUGUAGGCGGCUCGAUUAGUCCGCUGUGAAAGUCGGGGGCUCAACCCUCGGAUGCCGGUGGAUACUGUCGGGCUUGAGUACGGAAGAGGCGAGUGGAAUUCCUGGUGUAGCGGUGAAAUGCGCAGAUAUCAGGAGGAACACCAAUUGCGAAGGCAGCUCGCUGGGACGUUACUGACGCUGAGACGCGAAAGCGUGGGGAGCAAACAGG